UCCACUAAGUCCCCAAAACUGUGCUCCACAAAUACUUUAAAAGGGGUGGAGGAUUCUUCCAAGCUUUUAUAGCUAAGUGUUGUCUUCUUGUCAAUCUGUGUGCUGUUCUAUUUUCUGGUGUUGUUCACUGUACUUAGCCUCUAGGUGGCACUGGAGACGGUGAAGAGAGGUGACAGGUGUUCCCUAUCUCCUUAAUCAUCCUUGGAGGGUAUUUAAGAUGGAGGCCGCCAGCAAUUCAUCGCCAGUGGUAUAAGCUCAAGCCACAUUAAUUCUUGCUUUGACCUUUGCCUAAAGAAACUUUGUAUGUGCUCCUUCGCAGGCUGUAUACCUGAACCUGACUUUGCCAUCAGUAUUGUUUGCUGUUUUGGAUUUUUGACUCCUGGAGAUAGAUCUCCAACCUUGUGGAUUAAAAACCUGGGCUUCCCACCCACUUCAUCUUCUUGCAACUGGCUGGCAGCUUCCUGUCUGGAUCAACCAUGGACCUCCUCAAGCGAACCCUGUCCACCCUCCGUCACAAUAGAACCACCACCAGAACCUCAGUGCCCAACAACGUGUGCCAAGUACCCACCAGCUUCAGUCUCACCUGUAUGCAGCUCCGUUGUCAUUGUCCCCUCCUGGUGGAUCACGCCUCAUCCCUUUUUGUUUCCCGGUUCCAGAUCCUCUCGUACCAUCACGUUCCCUGUAAAUAAAAUCUUUGUCAAACUUUA